CUAAUACCGGAUAAGCCCUUACGGGGAAAGAUUUAUCGCCGAAAGAUCGGCCCGCGUCUGAUUAGCUAGUUGGUGAGGUAAUGGCUCACCAAGGCGACGAUCAGUAGCUGGUCUGAGAGGAUGAUCAGCCACAUUGGGACUGAGACACGGCCCAAACUCCUACGGGAGGCAGCAGUGGGGAAUAUUGGACAAUGGGGGCAACCCUGAUCCAGCCAUGCCGCGUGAGUGAUGAAGGCCCUAGGGUUGUAAAGCUCUUUUGUGCGGGAAGAUAAUGACGGUACCGCAAGAAUAAGCCCCGGCUAACUUCGUGCCAGCAGCCGCGGUAAUACGAAGGGGGCUAGCGUUGCUCGGAAUCACUGGGCGUAAAGGGUGCGUAGGCGGGUCUUUAAGUCAGGGGUGAAAUCCUGGAGCUCAACUCCAGAACUGCCUUUGAUACUGAAGAUCUUGAGUUCGGGAGAGGUGAGUGGAACUGCGAGUG
rnacentral:rRNA from 1 species